ACCCGCUGAACUUAAGCAUAUCAGUAAGCGGAGGAAAAGAAACUAACUAGGAUUCCCCGAGUAGCGGCGAGCGAAAGGGGAGAAGCCCAGCGCCGAAGCCCGCGUCCUCUGGGCGCCGUGCAAUGUGGCGUUUCGGUGGCGGCUCGCCGCGACUUCUCUGGCACGCGUACCUCUGAAUGGGUCUGCCCGUAGCGGGUGUCAGGCCUCUACUUGCCGAACGAGUCGUCGUGGCCCGCCGUCAUCGCGGAGUCGGGUUGCUUGAGAGUGCAGCCCAAAGUGGGUGGUAAGCUCCAUCUAAGGCUAAAUACCUAGUGCGAGACCGAUAGCAAACAAGUACCGUGAGGGAAAGUUGCAAAGAACUUUGAAAAGAGAGUUCAAGAGUACGUGAAACCGUUCAGAGGCAAACGGACGGAACUGGGCGAGUUCGCGGCCGUCAUUCAGCCGUCGCGUCAGCGUCGGUGCACUUGGCGGUCGCGGAGCGCGACGACCGCCUGUCGGGUCGUCACAAGCCCGGCGGCAAGGUGGCGACGCGUUCGCGCGUCGUGUUACAGGCCGUCGAGGCGUCGGCAGACUCGGCGGGCGAGGAGCGCCUGCGGUGCACUCCCGCGCUCUGCGGCGGGAGCGGCUCGAUUCGGUGGGCUCGCGGACGCCGGCGGCGAACUGCUCGCAGUUCGUCGUCGCGCGCUUCGCUUGUCGCGCCGGGCGACGCCGCGUUGCACCCGGGGUCCGGGUCGCGUGGUUCCCGGCACUCCGUCCGACCCGUCUUGAAACACGGACCAAGGAGUUGAGCACGCGCGCGAGUCGAUGGGCUCGAAGAACCCCAGUGGCGUAGCUAAGGCAAAACGGGCGUGAUCCGGCACUGGCGUGUCGGCGCAACGCCGGCCCGCAGCCAGCUCGGCGCGAGCGGCUGCGGCGCGAGAGCGCGCGUGCUCAGACCCGAAAGGUGGUGAACUAUGCUUGAGCAGGGCGAAGCCAGAGGAAACUCUGGUGGAGGCUCGCAGCGAUCCUGACGUGCAAAUCGGUCGUCAAACUUGAGCAUAGGGGCGAAAGACUAAUCGAACCGCCUAGUAGCUGGUUCCCUCCGAAGUUUCCCUCAGGAUAGCUGGCACUCGGGAUAAAUGGUUUUAUCCGGUAAAGCGAAUGAUUAGAGGCAUUGGGGACGAAACGUCCUCAACCUAUUCUCAAACUUUAAAUGGGUAAGAGGCGCGACCCUUCCUGAGCGGGGUCGCGUGCUUGAACAGAGAGUGCCCAGUGGGCCGUUUUUGGUAAGCAGAACUGGCGCUGUGGGAUGAACCAAACGCGCGGUUAGGGUGCCUAACGCACGCUCAUGAGAUACCACAAAAGGUGUUGGUUGAUAUAGACAGCAGGACGGUGGCCAUGGAAGUCGGAAUCCGCUAAGGAGUGUGUAACAACUCACCUGCCGAAUCAACUAGCCCUGAAAAUGGAUGGCGCUGGAGCGUGCGACCCAUACCGCGCCGUCGGGGCAACGCGUGCGAAAUGCCAGGCCCCGACGAGUAGGAGGGCGUGUCGGUGGCGUUGAAGCGUUGUGCGCGAGCACGCGUGGAGCCGCCUUCAGUGCAGAUCUUGGUGGUAGUAGCAAGUAUACAAAUGAGAACUUUGUAGACCGAAGUGGAGAAGGGUUCCAUGUGAACAGCAGUUGGACAUGGGUCAGUCGGCCCUAAGAGAUCGGAAAAUUCCGUUCUGAACGGGGGAGGCGCGCCGCAGCGGCGUCUGAACGGUCGUCGAGGUAGCGACAAAAAGGCCUUCAGGACGAGGAGCGUCGCAGAGAGAGAGUGUUCGAUUAUUAUAUAUAAGGUAAGAGCGUGGGCGCGUACGAACGAGCGCGUGGCACGCGGAAAGAGAGAGAAAGAGAGGAACACUGUAGAGCGGUGCGUGGCGUCCCCCGAUGCGAUCGAAAGGGAAUCGGGUUAAUAUUCCCGAACCUGGCAGCGGAGAUUGGGCCCUCGGGCCCCAGUGCGGUAACGCAACCGAACUCGGAGACGCCAGCGUCGAUCCCGGGAAGAGUUCUCUUUUCUUUGUUAGGAGCGGACUCCCUGGAAUUGGCUUGUCCAGAGAUAGGGACGUUGCAUCCGUAAAGCGUCGCGCCUCACGCGGCGUCCGGUGCAUCGGCGUUGGCCCUUGAAAAUCCGAGGGAGGCAGUGUAAUUUUCGCUCCAGGCCGUACCCGAAUCCGCAGCAGGUCUCCAAGGUGAACAGCCUCUGGUCGAUAGAACAAUGUAGGUAAGGGAAGUCGGCAAAUCCGAUCCGUAACUUCGGGAUAAGGAUUGGCUCUGAGGUGCGGGCUGUUUCGGGUCGCGGCAAGAAGCGGAUCGCGCGUUGGUUGGACUGGACGCGCUUCGGCGCGUUCGGACCGCCGCCAGCGCGCGUCCGUGGGAGGCCGUGGCUUUCGCCGGCGUCGGCCUCGCGUCGGCGUCGGCUUCGUUCGGCCUAAACGCACGGCACAGAACUGGCACGGACUCUGGGAACACGACUGUCUAAUU
rnacentral:rRNA from 1 species